rnacentral:lncRNA from 1 species
ACCAGGAGACUCUUUCAGAAGCAGUGCGCAACUGAGUUCGAGUCGCAGAGGUACUGAACUUAGGUUUGAAUUUAUCUUCUCGCCAUUUCCAUAAAAAAACAUCUUCUCGCUCUGGGUUAUAAAUCGACCUGCAAUUCUGAAUCUCAUCCUCAACCUGAUUUAAGACCUGGGCUCUGCGCCUCCGACUUCUAUGAUUCAAUAGUACCUCCUCUAGCGUCGCCUCAUCUGGAAUUCCCAGAUCAAUUACACCUCGAGCUCCUAGCAACUGCAAGAUGUUUCCCAGUUCCGACCAGGUAUCAUGCCAGAAUUCAAUUGACCGACCAUUUCCAGGCUGAACAAAAAU